GUGCUCAUUUUGGCAGCACGUAUACUAAAACUGGAAGGGUACAGAGAAGAUUAGCAUGGCCUCUGAGCGAGCCAUGCAAAUUAAUGAAGCAUUUCAUAUAUUU